rnacentral:rRNA from 1 species
AAUCAACGCUGGCGGCGUGCCUAACACAUGCAAGUCGAGCGCGAAAGCGGGGCAACCCGCAAGUAGAGCGGCGAACGGGUGAGUAACGCGUGGGUGAUCUACCUCCGAGUGGGGAACAACAUCGGGAAACUGGUGCUAAUACCGCAUGACAUCCUCAGGUCACACUGAGGAUCAAAGCCGGGGACCGUAAGGCCUGGCGCUUGGAGAGGAGCCCGCGUCCGAUUAGCAGUUGGCGGGGUAACGGCCCACCAAGGCGACGAUCGGUAGCCGGCCUGAGAGGGCGGACGGCCACACUGGGACUGCGACACGGCCCAGACUCCUACGGGAGGCAGCAGUGGGGAAUUUUUCGCAAUGGGCGCAAGCCUGACGAAGCAACGCCGCGUGGGGAUGAAGGUCUUCGGAUGUAAACCCCUGUCGACCGGGAACGAAAGUACCCGACCUAACACGUCGGAAUAUUGACUGUACCGGUGGAGGAAGCCACGGCUAACUCUGUGCCA